GCUUAUUUUAAUCAUCAGUUAAGGAAAAAUCUAAUUCAAGACACUACUAAUAUGGUUUUGAAAGGGAACAGUGACCAAUUUGUGGCUUUGAUACUGCAAAUUAUACUAUCUUGUUUUUCGCAAAAGGCAAUUUCACAUGUUGAGUCCGUUAUCUAACCUUGGCUACCUGGCGUAACACUGUGAUAUGCAGUCUGCAUAGGAUCUACCGGUGGAUUUUAUGUUGAAUUUCAAUUAUUGAUCAGGUUCUUGGCUCUUGGUACAGUUUCUUGUUGAGAAGUCCGGCAGCAAGGUAUUAUUUUUGACCUAGUCUGUUUGGAAAUUGAGUAAGCGAUGGGUGAAAUUUCGUUGUCAUUGGAGGAACUAUAACGGGUCGUAUUUUAUUUAUUCACUGGCAAAUUAUUGUUGUUAAAAACAAAAUAAUGCAGGAAGUUUUGAAUAUUGGUAAUCUUUGGCACAAAUAAAUUUGUUUUAUUUU